rnacentral:rRNA from 1 species
AGGGGACUGCGGAAGGAUCAUUAAUGAAUUUAGAUUGAACCAUAGGCGAAAGCCAGUGGUUCUUCUUUCAUAUCCAUAACACCUGUGCACUGUUGGAUGCUUGCAUCCACUUUUAAACUAAACAUUAUUGUAACAAAUGUAGUCUUAUUAUAACAUAAUAAAACUUUCAACAACGGAUCUCUUGGCUCUCGCAUCGAUGAAGAACGCAGCGAAAUGCGAUAAGUAAUGUGAAUUGCAGAAUUCAGUGAAUCAUCGAAUCUUUGAACGCACCUUGCGCUCCUUGGUAUUCCGAGGAGCAUGCCUGUUUGAGUGUCAUGAAACCCUCAAACCCAAGUUUUGGAUUUCGAUCCAUGCUUGAGUUUGGAUUUGGAUGUUUGCCGGUGAUGAACCGACUCAUCUUAAAAGUAUUAGCUUGGAUCUGUCUAUAUGACUGGUUUGACUUGGCAUAAUAAGUAUUUUGCUGAGGACAUCUUCGGAUGGCCAGGACCUAGACUACUGUCUGCUAACUAAACCAUCACUUUAAGUGCAUCUUUGGAUGUUACUCAUUGUGUAACUUUGACAUCUGGCCUCAAAUCAAGUAGGACUACCCGCUGAACUUAAGCAUAUCAAUAAGCCGGGAGGAA